rnacentral:rRNA from 1 species
GGAUGAACGCUGGCGGCGUGCCUAAUACAUGCAAGUCUAGCGAACGGACGAGAAGCUUGCUUCUCUGAUGUUAGCGGCGGACGGGUGAGUAACACGUGGAUAACCUACCUAUAAGACUGGGAUAACUUCGGGAAACCGGAGCUAAUACCGGAUGAUAUUUUGAACCGCAUGGUUCAAAAGUGAAAGACGGUCUUGCUGUCACUUAUAGAUGGAUCCGCGCUGCAUUAGCUAGUUGGUAAGGUAACGGCUUACCAAGGCAACGAUGCAUAGCCGACCUAAGAGGGUGAUCGGCCACACUGGAACUGAGACACGGUCCAGACUCCUACGGGAGGCAGCAGUAGGGAAUCUUCCGCAAUGGGCGAAAGCCUGACGGAGCAACGCCGCGUGAGUGAUGAAGGUCUUCGGAUCGUAAAACUCUGUUAUUAGGGAAGAACAUAUGUGUAAGUAACUGUGCACAUCUUGACGGUACCUAAUCAGAAAGCCACGGCUAACUACGUG